rnacentral:rRNA from 1 species
UUGAACGCUGGCGGAAUGCUUUACACAUGCAAGUCGAGCGGCAGCGCGGGGGCAACCCUGGCGGCGAGCGGCGAACGGGUGAGUAAUAUAUCGGAACGUGCCCAGUCGUGGGGGAUAACGCAGCGAAAGCUGUGCUAAUACCGCAUACGAUCUCUGGAUGAAAGCGGGGGACCGUAAGGCCUCGCGCGAUUGGAGCGGCCGAUAUCAGAUUAGCUAGUUGGUGGGGUAAAAGCCCACCAAGGCGACGAUCUGUAGCUGGUCUGAGAGGACGACCAGCCACACUGGAACUGAGACACGGUCCAGACUCCUACGGGAGGCAGCAGUGGGGAAUUUUGGACAAUGGGCGCAAGCCUGAUCCAGCAAUGCCGCGUGCAGGAUGAAGGCCUUCGGGUUGUAAACUGCUUUUGUACGGAACGAAACGGCUCACUCUAAUACGGUGGGCUAAUGACGGUACCGUAAGAAUAAGCACCGGCUAACUACGU